CCUACGGGUGGCAGCAGUGGGGAAUAUUGCACAAUGGGGGAAACCCUGAUGCAGCGACGCCGCGUGAGUGAAGAAGUAAUUCGUUAUGUAAAACUCUAUCAGCAUGGAAGAAAAUGACGGUACCUGAGUCAGAAGCCCCGGCUAACUACGUGCCAGCAGCCGCGGUAAUACGUCGGGGGCAAGCGUUAUCCGGAUUUACUGGGUGUCAAGGGAGCGUAGACGGCAGUGCAAGUCUGGAGUGAAAGGCGGGGGCUCAACCCCCGGACUGCCCUUGAAACUGUACGGCUGGAGUGCAGGAGAGGGAAGUGGAAGUGCUAGUGUAGCGGUGAAAUGCGUAGAUAUUAGGAGGAACACCAGUGGCGAAGGCGGGUUACUGGACUGUAACUGACGUUGAGGCUCGAAAGCGUGGGGAGCAAACAGGAUUAGAUACCCGGGUAGUC
rnacentral:rRNA from 1 species